UACAGAGGUCCCAAGCGUUUGUUCGGAUUCAUUGGGCGUAAAGGGUGCGUAGGCGGCGCGGUAAGUCGGGUGUGAAAUCUCGGAGCUUAACUCCGAAACUGCAUUCGAUACUGCCGUGCUUGAGGACUGGAGAGGAGACUGGAAUUUACGGUGUAGCGGUGAAAUGCGUAGAUAUCGUAAGGAAGACCAGUGGCGAAGGCGGGUCUCUGGACAGUUCCUGACGCUGAGGCACGAAGGCCAGGGGAGCAAACGGG
rnacentral:rRNA from 1 species